UUAUGUUUCUCUUCGUUUUCUUGACCACAAGACAUAUUUACUCAGGAAUUGAUGAUCUACUACUCAAGUAAUUGUUAUGAAUACAAAUAGCAAAUUUUUCGUGCCUCCUACGUAUCUCUGGGCUAAACAGAGAUGGUUAUCAUUUAUUUAUUUAACAAGAUGUUAAAUGUCUACUAUGUGCCAAGCACUGCAUUCCAUCUGUGUGUGCUAGGGGUUUGUUAGUGUGCCUAUCUUCAGGUUAUGUGAAAGAGUACUGGAUUACAUGCUAAAAGAACCAAAGUCAACUACUGCCUCUCUGACAUACAUGCAGACUUCCCUUGUUCAUUUCUGGACCUCAAUUUCCUCAUCUACAAUAUGAAGAUAAUAAUCUCUGAUCUGACUACAUUGCAAGAUUAUUAUGAAGAUUAAAUAAGUACUUCACCCAGGCUCAUUUCAUUCUUCUACACCUAUUCCAAUGGAAUUGCAAGAGUUAUUGUCCCCCUGGACUUCCGAAGUGGAAAGAAUAGGAGAAAAUGUAAGGAAGCUGCUCUUUGAUCUCCGUGUACAUCAAUUACAGCUCCUCCAGGCAUCCUGAGGGGAAGAUGUAAAGAAUCAGAGCCAGAGGAUAAAUGGUGACUCUGUGGGUCCCGGAAACCCUUCAAGAUCUUUGAAAAUAAGGACUGCUAUAUCAUUCACUAUGUGUAUCCCCAUUCCUAUGCUACAGAGAGAAGAUCUGUCCUCUACAGCCACAGUGGAUAAGGGCAAAUUAGGAAUAAGAAAGAAGCAAUCUUAAGAGCAGAAAGAAAGUUGGGCUGUCCACUGGGAAACACAAUUCAGUUAAAAUGACCAAAUCUCUUGAAGACUGAAAACUAACUUCAAAUACAGGAUUUCUGCAAACUACAGAUGCUUUCCAGAAAUGACUGCUUACUUAAACAUACUCAUUAAGCAAGAAGGCCGCUAUCUGCAAACCAGGAAGAGAGCCCUCACCAGGAACCACAUUGGUCCACACCUUGAUCUUGGACUUCCCAGCCUUCAGGACCAUGAGAAAUAAAUCUCUGUUGCUUAAGCUGCAGUCUAUGGUAUUUUGUUAUAACAGCCCAAACUGACUAAAACACUAGUGGUGCAGCAUUAUUG
rnacentral:lncRNA from 1 species